CCUUGGCAUCAUUGGUGUCGACACAAUCAGUGAAUAUUGGCAGGAAUUUGAAUAGUCAUGAAUCAGGAAGGGCACUCAAGUAAA